GCUAAAAUAGCUCAGUUGGGAGAGCAUUAGACUGACAAGCUAAAGAUCUCUGGAUCAAUCCCAGCCUUUAGCA